rnacentral:snoRNA from 1 species
UGCAAAUGAUGCUAUAAUCAAGUUUUGUUUCUCAAGACAUUCGCAGUUGCCGCCUAAGAGCUUUCCCCCUGCCAGGCUUGAGAGUUACUUCCACUGCUGCA